UAUGCACGCCACUGUUUGCAAACCACGCCUACAAGACAUCACGGAAGCCAUGAUUGUGUAGCGAAACGACCGAUAACUCUCAUAACAACAACAAAAUAUACAAUACCAUAAUGGUGCACUUCCAUCUGUUACCCAAAAAUCACCAAAACAAAUUGAAUGGCCUCCGCAGACUUCUUCACCAACCGCAAAUAGUCGUAAAAUAUAGACCAACAAAUCACUUCAGUCAAAAAGAGCUCGUAAAAAAAACCCUUUGAACAAUAAGAAGAUGACAAAAAAAAUAUAUCUAAUUGACAAUCUUCCGUCAAAACAAACAGUUACAAGAUUAUUUUACUAUCCUUUUUUAUGGAUUUUUUAUGCGGCCCUAGACACAAUAGCGUAGUACAUAAAAUUUGAAGAGGGCCAUAACUUUGCCUCGGAAUCACUUGAACUAAACUCCGAAUGCGAUGGGCUAAACAAAAAAAAAAAAAAAAUCAUCGCACGAUAACUGAUUGUCUGAUCGUAAAAUUGUCGUAAAAAUGAAAACGACCUUCACCCUGAUCAUCACGCUGCUGCCGUAUCGCAUCAGUCUGUCAGAAUAGUCACAGAAAUGUGACAUAACAAUCAACCAAAAAAAAAACGUAGUUCAGACGCACUCUUUGUUCUCAUUUUUAUGUAUUUUUUAUUUGUUAAGUCUUGUGGUUGGAUAAGAGAGAGACACUAUGUGGAUACACAACAAGUGGCACAGAGGGCGCUAAGUCGUAAAAGAGGUCAUAAACGUCUACGGAAGCAAAAGAUUACCCGUAACUGUAAGCCACUAUGAGCACAGAGAGCGCAUGUAAAAUGUAUUUAUUCAGUGAUUGUCGGAGGAUGCUUUCUUUUGACAGCCAAUGUCAAGUGAGUGGUUAAACAUAUAAAAAUGGAGAUACUAGGACAGACCGUGCGUUUUAUUUGUUCCGAAUUUUACGACUAACCUCACACGUUUUGUCCUCAAAUCGAAUCAGCAGCGGGUUUAAUUCCGAGAUGGUAGCAGAGUGGACCCCACAUAGGCAACAUGUCAGAUUGGUGUCUCCUCAAGAAGCGUUUUUACGACCACGGAUAGGCUGGUUCUUGUUCUCGUGUGUUUCGGUAACUGGCUGAAGCCAUUUCAGACCACAUAAAAUCAAAGGCGGACACUUGUGAUAUCUGCUAAAACGCCACCAGAAACAAUCUCGCCAAUGCCAUAGCCAUCAUCAUCACAACCACCACCAAUAACAUCGUCAUCAUUACCAUCAUCAUCAUCAUGAACGCCCGAACCAAACCAAACCGAAAAACCACCAUCAACUUAAUUCUCGGCUGCGCUGCGGCGGCAACACA